AGUUCCUAACACAGACCUGGUCGCUGUGCAGGCAAAAGUAACGAUGGAGCGGACUUCGUCCUGGCAGCUGCCUACUUUCCUGGAAACACGCUGACAGCACCCCAGAGGCCGUCGGGAACCUCGUGGAUUACUGCAGGAGGAACAACCUGCCCUCGUCAUGGGAUGUGACGCCAACGCCCAUCAUACUGAAUGGGGCAGCACAGACUGCAAUACACGGGAAAUGUCUAAGAAAAACAGAAAAAUAUUCAACUCUAAUAAGCCACAACUGAAAGAAAAGUUGUCAAAGCGAUUAUCUUUAAAGGCGCCUCAAUCCCCGAGCGGAGAUGAACGCUGAUGACCGCCACCAAUGGCGCAAUUGACUUCAAUUAAAAGUGACUCAACACCUCAGCAUGCUGUUGGCCACGGCUUCUUACUGAGUUGUAUGAUGACGGCAAAGGAUCUGCACACCCCGAUACCCAACUGCAUACACAGCUUUGCUUUGCUUUUUGGCUGCUUUCACUUCUUCGUAGACGGCUUGACAACUGGCUUCUGGUUAGUAUAUCGUUGUUGCUGUUCGCCAGAGUAGCCAUGAAGCACUUAAAGUUGGAACGAUAAUGAGUCAGAUUGGUCGUGCUUCUGAAGCUGCAAAGGCUCUAUACAUAUAUAUAUAUAUUAUACAAAUGUAACUCGGAGAAUGAUAGUACAGGAAUAAUACACAGGGUGACUGUCAAUAUAAGAAAAUAAAUAUAAAUAAAAUAUACUAACUGCUUAGACGACGUGGGGUCCUGUCCGGGCGCUGCAAUUUGGUGUAGGUAAUGUUCGCAUUUAAAAGAAAUCCUCGCGUAAUCUUAGCAAUGCUUAUGCGGAUGCGGAAGUCCAAUUAGAUGAGGUAGCUUUCAGAUUGGGUGAAGAAAACUGAAAAGAAACAGAGUAGCGAAGACAGAGCAGUUGCGGGCAAAUCGACGGCUGAUAAGCCGUUUAGAGUCAGACAAAGUUGCUGUGUUUGAUUGUGGGCGGGAGAGUUAGAGCGAGUGUUAAUUGCGCUUCUCACAACGGGAAUUGACUUCAGACACUGCUGUCGGCAGAAAGAAAGUAAAACGAUCUGCGAAUAAAGCCUGUUGCUUUUCAAAUUCUGCCAUUGACAGUCAAGGCAUUGUUGUGAAGUGUAAAGUGUAGACGCAUAUGAGGCAUCUGCUAAUGACGUAAUGAAGCUUGAGUAUCGAAUCGGCGUCAAUUGCAGAGCAAUUGAUUGGUAUUUCCUGCGGGCCUGCCAUUGACUUGACUUUGUCGCUAAUAAGAUUUUAGUGAAUACCUCUACUGCGAUGCGCUCUUCACCCAGUAACUCAUUAAUGUUUUACCUUUUCAAUAAUAGUUUUCAAUUAGUGUUACAUACAUCUUGUACAUACAUAUACAUAAAAUUUUACUUCAAAUAUAUUAUAUAUAUAAUAUGUGUAUUUACAUAUAUAGGGAUAUAUCACCAUCCUACUUUAGCCACGUCAACUAAAAGCCUACCAAGGCGACCGCUCUAAUUAUUUUCUGGUUUUCGAAAGAUAACGUUGCUUUUAUAUUCUUACUUUCUCCGCUUUUUCGUCAUUAUCUAUCUAUAUAUAUAAAGCAGGAUGUGUAUAUUAUGAAAUCGAUAGACUCAGAAACUAUUUUUGCAUAUGUAUUUUGUCACGGAGAAAGUUUUAAUGCUAUCCCCAUUGACGUAACUCGCCACCAGGUGGCCCGACAAUGUAUCGACCUCUGUAUCGUUUAACCGAUUGUUACGAAAAUUAGUCUGUACAUGUAUUUUAUCAUGAAGAAGACGAUUAUGCUAUCCACAUUGAUAAUUAUGUCAUUUAAUUAAGCAUAUUGGAGUAUAAUGAUGAAACAAUAUGACCAUGUAAUUUAACUAAAAUUAUCGCGAAGAGUGAGCCAUUACUAACAGAUGAACAAAAUACUAUUUAUAAUCGGAUUAGGCUAAUUGCCAGAUAAUUUCAGCACUAUUGUACACGGAAAAAAAAUUAAUUGGCAGUAUUUUCCCAAAAAAACAAAAUAAUUACUUAAAUCAAAACUGGCUCUAUAAUCGGACUAUAUUGAUAGCAAAAAAUGCCGAAAUUAAUUUCGAUAAUAAUAUUUUUACUAUAUUAAACAGCUUACUCAAAUAUACAAUAAUUUAAUUAUAUCUUAGCCACAGCAAGCCGAGGCCAGGGUCUUCUAUUGUAGUAUACAUAUCAAAUUGUCUUUGAAUAAAAAUUGUGAUUUUGAAA